CCUACGGGCGGCAGCAGUGGGGAAUAUUGGACAAUGGGGGGAACCCUGAUCCAGCCAUGCCGCGUGUGUGAAGAAGGCCCUCGGGUUGUAAAGAACUUUCAGUGAGGAAGAACGCCUGGUGGUUAAUACCCAUCAGGAAAGACAUCACUCACAGAAGAAGCACCGGCUAACUCCGUGCCAGCAGCCGCGGUAAUACGGAGGGUGCGAGCGUUAAUCGGAAUUACUGGGCGUAAAGCGCGCGUAGGUGGCUUGAUAAGCCGGUUGUGAAAGCCCCGGGCUCAACCUGGGAACGGCAUCCGGAACUGUCAAGCUAGAGUGCAGGAGAGGAAGGUAGUAUUCCCGGUGUAGCGGUUAAAUGCGUUGAGAUCGGGAGGAAUACCAGUGGCGAAGGCGGCCUUCUGGACUGACACUGACCCUGAGGUGCGAAAGCGUGGGUAGCAAACAGGAUUAGAUACCCUGGUAGUC
rnacentral:rRNA from 1 species